rnacentral:rRNA from 1 species
AGUGAACGCUGGCGGUAGGCCUAACACAUGCAAGUCGAACGGCAGCACAGUAAGAGCUUGCUCUUACGGGUGGCGAGUGGCGGACGGGUGAGGAAUACAUCGGAAUCUACUUUUUCGUGGGGGAUAACGUAGGGAAACUUACGCUAAUACCGCAUACGACCUACGGGUGAAAGCAGGGGAUCUUCGGACCUUGCGCGAUUGAAUGAGCCGAUGUCGGAUUAGCUAGUUGGCGGGGUAAAGGCCCACCAAGGCGACGAUCCGUAGCUGGUCUGAGAGGAUGAUCAGCCACACUGGAACUGAGACACGGUCCAGACUCCUACGGGAGGCAGCAGUGGGGAAUAUUGGGCAAUGGGCGCAAGCCUGAUCCAGCCAUACCGCGUGGGCGAAGAAGGCCUUCGGGUUGUAAAGCCCUUUUGUUGGGAAAGAAAAGCAGCAGGUUAAUACCCCGCUGUUCUGACGGUACCCAAAGAAUAAGCACCGGCUAACUUCGUG